GUAGGUAGCAAGCGUUGUCCGGAAUUAUUGGGCGUAAAGCGCGCGCAGGCGGUUCUUUAAGUCUGAUGUGAAAGCCCACGGGCUCAACCGUGGAGGGUCAUUGGAAACUGGAGAACUUGAGUACAGAAGAGGAAAGCGGAAUUCCACGUGUAGCGGUGAAAUGCGUAGAGAUGUGGAGGAACACCAGUGGCGAAGGCGGCUUUCUGGUCUGUAACUGACGCUGAGGCGCGAAAGCGUGGGGAGCAAACAGGAUUAGAUACCCUGGUAGUCCACGCCGUAAACGAUGAGUGCUAAGUGUUAGGGGGUUUCCGCCCCUUAGUGCUGCAGCUAACGCAUUAAGCACUCCGCCUGGGGAGUACGGCCGCAAAGGCUG
rnacentral:rRNA from 1 species